GUAAUUCUAUAUUUUUAAUAAUUGUAAUUUGGCUCAAAUUAAAUAGUUAGGGGCUAAAUUGAAAAGUUGAAGAAAAUUUGAAGGGUUAAACAUGAAUUUUAUAGGGAGAAAUUGUUAGUAAUUAAAAUAGUUGAGGGGCUAAAUGGUGAAGAAGAAAAAUUGGAGGACCAACUUGCGAUAGAGAAAAGAAAGAAAAGAAAGAGAACGAAGCGGAAGAAGAAGAAGAAGAAGAGGGAGGAAGCUCCGUCGGCUUCAAUGGUGGAGUGCUGGAGGAGUCUAGGCCGAGAGUGGUGACGAUGUAGGGAGGUGCAGCUGGCGUCGGCGAGCACGCCAAUGGCGGCGGCGAUAGUGAAUGGCGACGACAAGUGUGGAAUUGAGAAAGGCAGCCGCAACUUCCUUGUUGUCAUUCAUGGCGUUUUCGGCAACCAUUGUCGAUGGUUCUGGGCUCAAAAUGAUUAGCAACUUUUGGGCUUCUUUUUCCGACCAUUGCCACCCCUUGAGGCUACCGGAAUCGCAAAAUUCGACGAGGUGAAAAGUAUAGGGGCAGAUCAGAUUUUUUACUUUUUUGACUAUUGUUGUUUAGCUUCCAACUAUCAGAG
rnacentral:lncRNA from 1 species